GUGGCGGUCCUUGUGGUUUUGGCACCGAGCAGUGUGCCACGACCGUCAUGACUCCACGCAGAGCGAGGCUGGUUCCUGCCGACAGGGCCUGUAAAGGCAUUGGCUUCCCUGUGCGAUGGUUCCAUACAUU